GCAUUGUUGGUUUAGUGGUAUAAUGGCCGCCUGCCACUGCCCACGGCCGACCCGGGUUCGAUAAUCGGACAAUGCA